UCAAGGGGUGGUCAGCUGUCUUUGUCAUGGCCAUGUGUGUGGCAGUGUUGCACUGCUGGAAGAUAAAGGUACUGCCCAUUUUAGCUGUCAGUCAACACCUCUGUUCUGGAGGCAGCUGAAACCAGCAUGGGGCCAUAUUGUGCUUCUUCGAGAGUGUUCUGAGCAGUUAAUACCCUGCUCAGUGCUAGACAAGAAGCUUACGCA